GUGCUUGCCACGGCGGCACAUAUUCUAAAAUUGGAUCGAUACAGAGAAGAUUAGCAUGGCCCCUGCAAAAGGAUGACAUGCAAAUCUGUGAAGUGCUCCAUCUUUUU
rnacentral:snRNA from 1 species